AGCUUCACUGGAUUUUCAGCCUCAUAGGACAGCAUACCCCUGGUGUUUCCAACAGGUCUCACCGAGGAAGGAACACCCACUCUGGACUAGAGGGCAUCAUACAGUGAUCUGAGGCCUCGGACUGAGGAAAAAGGAAAAAGAGAAGGAAGCGGGCUAAGCAGUGUCCAUCACUCUCUGCUUCCUGCUGUGGCUGCAGCUAGGGAUGCUCCUGCAACCAUGCCCCCUCCACCGUGGACUGUGUCCCCUUAAGCUGUGAGUCAACACAAGCCCUUUGUUCUUAUGUUGGCUUUUUUCAGGAAGUCUGUCACAGCAAAGAGGAAAAUGACUAAUACAACGUACAGUAGCAGAAAAGCGUGUCGGGCCUAUGGAAUGGCAUCCUUUGUUCUAUCUCUUCUGCCAGCGUUUGGGAUCCAGGUGUAGAACUAACUCUCAGCUACGUCUCCAGCACCACGUCUGCCUGGACACUGUCAUGCUUCCCACCAUGACAAUAAUGGAUUAAACCUCUGAACUGAGACAUCAGGGUGGCUGAUUUCUGAACUUGUGGAACUCAGAAUCCUCGUUCUUCAGUCUCCUGAGCGCUGCAGCCACAGGAUUGCUCCACCAUGCCUGGCUCAGGACUUGUCUGGUUUUAGCUGGCUCAGCUGUUGAGGAUCUCAUAUCAACUGUGACAGCCACGAUCACCAUCUCCAUGUCACCAUCACAGCCUCUUCUCUGCCGUCUGAAAUGCAACUCCAGAGCCAUCAACAGCACAGCAGAAGGUCUCACUCUGUGAGGUGACACCUCACAGCUCUUCAGUGAGCUUUGGCCUAAGUUAGAGGCUGAGCAAAGAGGAGACAGUUGCUGUAUUUCUGCUUUUGGGGCCUUGCUUACUGUUUGUUGUUUCAGCAUUACAGACUGGACAUUAAAAGUCUGACUAAAUCAUGUGCUGAAGGCUUGGUCCCCGGCUAUUGGGAAGUGAUGGAAUGGCAGAAGGUAGGGCCUGCUUAGAGGAAGUAGGAACUGGUGCUGGAGCUAUGAAGGAUAUAUUGAAUCCCUUGGCCAUUUCUUAUCCCUCUCUCUUUCCUUCAUCUGGACAGCCAGUCCUGCUCCACUAUGACAUUCUGACUCAGAAAGGGAUCAGAAACAGUGCAGCCAAGCAACCAUGGCCUGAGACCUCUGAAGCUGUGAGCAAUGAUGAAUCUUCACACCCUUGGGUUUACUUUUUAGGUAUUUCACUGCAGCACAGCACAGUCAAUACAGAAGACCAUCACCAAGAAAGAUCCAGUGUUUUGUGUUUCUACACAAGCAAACCAGAGACCAGUGCAGACAAUGAAACAAAACUUUACCACUCAGAAACCACCAGCUGCCUGCUAAGACGUCCCCACUCCAAGCCCCUCACACACAGUUUCUGUCUCCCUGAACAUGACAGCUCACUACCUGUGUUUGCGCUCACUCUCCUCCUUCUCUUUCUGCCUGUGUGUAAACGCUCCUGUAUGUGUGCACAUGGAAUGCAGGAGCACAUAUGUUCAUGUAGACUCUAGAGUCAACACUGGAUGUCGUCCUCCUCAAUCACUCUCCCUCCACCUUUAAUUUUUUGUUUUGUUUUUCGAGACAGGGUUUAUCUGUGUAGCCCUGGCUAACCUGAAAUUCAUUCUGUAGCUGAGGCUGGCCUUGAACUCAGAGAUCCUCCUGUCCUCUGCCUCCCAAGUGCUGGGAUUAAAGGCAUGCACCACCA